rnacentral:lncRNA from 1 species
GGCCGGGCGCGGUGGCUCACGCCUGUAAUCCCAGCACUUUGGGAGGCCGAGGCGGGCGGAUCACGAGGUCAGGAGAUCGAGACCAUCCCGGCUAACACGGUGAAACCCCGUCUCUACUAAAAAUACAAAAAAUUAGCCGGGCGUGGUAGCGGGCGCCUGUGGUCCCAGCUACUCGGGAGGCUGAGGCAGGAGAAUGGCGUGAACCCGGGAGGCGGAGCUUGCAGUGAGCCGAGAUCGCGCCACUGCACUCCAGCCUGGGCGACAGAGCGAGACUCCGUCUCAA